GAUGAACGCUGGCGGCGUGCCUAAUACAUGCAAGUCGAGCGAACGGACGCGAAGCUUGCUUCUCUGAUGUUAGCGGCGGACGGGUGGGUAACACGUGGAUAACCUACCUAUACGACUGGGAUAACUUCUGGAAACCGGAGCUAAUACCGGAUAAUAUUUUGAACCGCAUGGUUCAAAAGUGAAAGACGGUCUUGCUGUCACUUAUAGAUGGAUCCGCGCUGCAUUAGCUAGUUGGUAAGGUAACGGCUUACCAAGGCAACGAUGCAUAGCCGACCUGAGAGGGUGAUCGGCCACACUGGAGCUGAGACACGGUCCAGACUCCUACGGGAGGCAGCAGUAGGGAAUCUUCCGCAAUGGGCGAAAGCCUGACGGAGCAACGCCGCGUGAGUGAUGAAGGUCUUCGGAUCGUAAAACUCUGUUAUUAGGGAAGAACAUAUGUGUAAGUAACUGUGCACAUCUUGACGGUACCUAAUCAGAAAGCCACGGCUAACUACGUG
rnacentral:rRNA from 1 species